GCACUUCCGGAAUCUCUCGUCACGUGAGCUUGGUUGUCCUACGAAAGGCAGGCUCUCGGCUCGCGCGCGCCGGCCUGGUGUGCUCGCGUCCUCACGCACUUUGGGUUUCCCGGUCUCAUGGCCGGCCUGACCUUAUUUGUGGGUCGCCUCCCGCCUUCGGCCCGCAGUGAGCAGCUGGAGGAACUGUUCAGUCAGGUGGGGCCGGUGAAGCAGUGCUUCGUGGUGACUGAAAAAGGGAGUAAGGCAUGUCGAGGCUUUGGCUAUGUCACUUUUUCUAUGCUGGAAGAUGUUCAGAGGGCCCUCAAGGAGAUUACCACCUUUGAAGGUUGCAAGAUCAACGUGACUGUUGCUAAGAAAAAACUGAGGAACAAGACAAAGGAAAAGGGGAAAAAUGAAAACUCAGAGUGCCCAAAGAAGGAGCCGAAGGCUAAAAAAGCCAAAGUGGCAGAUAAGAAAGCCAGAUUAAUUAUUCGGAACCUGAGCUUUAAGUGUUCGGAAGAUGAUUUGAAGACAGUAUUUGCUCAAUUUGGAGCUAUCCUAGAAGUAAAUAUUCCUAGGAAACCAGAUGGGAAGAUGCGUGGUUUUGCUUUUGUUCAGUUCAAAAACCUCCUAGAAGCAGGUAAAGCUCUCAGAGCCAUGAACAUGAAAGAGAUAAAAGGGCGGACGGUGGCUGUGGAUUGGGCUGUAGCAAAGGAUAAAUAUAAAGAUACACAGUCUGUUUCUGCUGUAGGUGAGGAAAAGAGCCAUGAAUCUAAACAUCAGGAAUCAGUUAAAAAGAAGGGCAGGGAGGAAGAGGAUGUGGAAGAGGAAGAAAACGAUGAUGAUGGUGAUGAUGAUGAUGAUGAAGAAGAUGAGGUUGAUGAUGAUGAAGAUGAAGAUGAAGAGGAGGAGAAUAUAGAAUCAAAGAUGACCAAGCCUGUGCAGAUUCAGAAGAGAGCAUUCAAGAGAGCAGCCCCUGCAAAAAGCAGUGAAGAUCAUUCUGAGGAGGACGGUGACCUGGAGGAAAGUGAUAGUAUUGGUGAUGGAGAGGAACUGGCUCAGAGUGAUACUACCACUGAGGAGCAAGAGGAUAAAGCUGUGCAAGUCUCAAACAAAAAGAAGAGGAAAUUACCCUCUGAUGUGAAUGAAGGGAAAACUGUUUUUAUCAGAAAUCUGUCCUUUGACUCAGAAGAAGAAGAACUUGGGGAGCUUCUCCAACAGUUUGGAGAACUCAAAUAUGUCUGCAUUGUCUUGCAUCCAGACACAGAGCAUUCUAAAGGUUGUGCAUUUGCCCAGUUCAUGACUCAAGAAGCAGCUCAGAAAUGCCUUCUAGCUGCUUCUCCAGAGAAUGAGACUGGUGGGCUUAAACUGGAUGGCCGGCAGCUCAAGGUUGACUUGGCGGUGACCCGUGAUGAGGCUGCAAAGCUUCAGACAAAGAAGGUGAAGAAGCCGACUGGCACCCGGAAUCUCUAUCUGGCCCGAGAAGGCUUGAUUCGUGCUGGGACGAAGGCUGCAGAGGGUGUGAGUGCUGCUGAUAUGGCCAAAAGAGAACGGUUUGAGCUGCUGAAGCAUCAGAAACUCAAGGACCAGAAUAUCUUUGUCUCCCAAACCAGGCUCUGCCUGCACAAUCUCCCAAAGGCUGUAGAUGACAAACAGCUCAGAAAGCUGCUGCUGAGUGCUACUAGUGGAGAGAAAGGGGUGCGCAUCAAGGAGUGUAGAGUGAUGCGAGACCUCAAAGGAGUUCAUGGGAACAUGAAGGGUCAGUCCCUGGGCUACGCCUUUGCAGAGUUCCAAGAGCACGAGCAUGCCUUGAAAGCCCUCCGCCUGAUCAACAACAAUCCAGAAAUCUUUGGGCCUCUGAAGAGACCAAUAGUGGAGUUCUCUUUAGAAGAUCGAAGAAAACUUAAAAUGAAGGAAUUAAGGAUCCAGCGCAGCUUGGUACAGAAAUUAAAUGCAAAAAGUGAGAUCCAAGCCUGCAACUGGUGAGCCUCAGAAGGGGAAACCAGAGCCUGCAAAAGACCAGCAACAGAAGGCAGCUCAACACCACACAGAGGAACAAAGCAAGGCGCCCCCAGAGCAGAAGGGGAAGGCGGGCUCUACCUUAUGGACCGGGUUCCAGACCAAGGCUGAAGUGGAGCAGGUGGAGCUGCCUGAUGGAAAGAAGAGAAGAAAGGUCCUGGCGCUCCCCUCACACCGAGGCCCCAAAAUCAGGUUGCGGGACAAAGGCAAAGUGAAGCCCAUCCAUCCCAAAAAGCCAAAGCCCCAGAUAAGCCAGUGGAAGCAGGAGAAACAGCAAUUAUCUUCUGAGCAGGUAUCUAGGAAAAAAGCGAAGGGAAAUAAGACGGAAACCCGCUUCAACCAACUGGUCGAACAAUAUAAGCAGAAAUUAUUGGGACCUUCUAAAGGAGCACCUCUUGCAAAGAGGAGCAAAUGGUUUGAUAAUUGAUGAUGCCAGCGGGCUGGGUAAGAAGCUGGGUUGUAUACUUUCUAGUGACACUCCUGGGUUCCUCCCCAUCUCCCAUGUCUCUCACUGAGGGAAAGAAAAUCCCCGAGGGCACUGCCACUGUGCUGGGAGGCACCCUGGACUGUGUACAUCUGAACUUUGGUCCAUCCUUUGAUGAGUGGUUCGUUAGCCACAAAGAAAUAUCUGAAAGACAUCAUGAUGCUUCUUGCAUAUUAUCCAGAUUAUUGUAUGAAGUUGUGUCUAUAAUUAUUACCAAUUUUUGUUCUUUAUUUCUCAAAUGGAAACAAUUGAAAAAGCAUUCUGGAGUGCUGAAUUUUUAAGAUGUAUAUUUUGUUAAGCGUAUUCUCUAAAUGAGAUACUGUGUGGCUUUUUAGUAACAAUGUCAUUUCUAAUAUGUGUGACUCCUUUA